GGGACACGUGGUAUCCUGUCUGAAUAUGGGGGGACCAUCCUCCAAGGCUAAAUACUCCUGACUGACCGAUAGUGAACCAGUACCGUGAGGGAAAGGCGAAAAGAACCCCGGCGAGGGGAGUGAAAAAGAACCUGAAACCGUGUACGUACAAGCAGUGGGAGCACAGGUUUACCUGUGUGACUGCGUACCUUUUGUAUAAUGGGUCAGCGACUUAUAUUCUGUAGCAAGGUUAACCGUAUAGGGGAGCCGGAGGGAAACCGAGUCUUAAUUGGGCGUUAAGUUGCAGGGUAUAGACCCGAAACCCGGUGAUCUAGCCAUGGGCAGGUUGAAGGUUGGGUAACACUAACUGGAGGACCGAACCGACUAAUGUUGAAAAAUUAGCGGAUGACCUGUGGCUGGGGGUGAAAGGCCAAUCAAACCGGGAGAUAGCUGGUUCUCCCCGAAAGCUAUUUAGGUAGCGCCUCGUGAAUUCAUCUCCGGGGGUAGAGCACUGUUUCGGCUAGGGGGCCAUCCCGG
rnacentral:rRNA from 1 species